GCUCCAGGCCUGUCAGGUGAGCUGCUGAUUGUCACCCCCGGCUCAAAUCAAACUAGCAUAAACUUGAGCUAGCACCCGAGAAGCAGAACUUCGGGGGCCAUUGUACUGCCAGGAAUGGAGAGAACUGCAAUCCUGCAACCGUUGGUGGUGACGGAGGAAAAGAACGCAAGACAGGAAGAAUACAUGGGCACUGAUUCGAACACGGUUCCUGACCCACACGGGGCUGACAACCUGCGCGAGGCCAAAAAUGAGAGAAAGCAACUG